rnacentral:rRNA from 1 species
CCUACGGGAGGCAGCAGUGGGGAAUUUUGGACAAUGGGCGAAAGCCUGAUCCAGCAAUGCCGCGUGCAGGAAGAAGGCCUUCGGGUUGUAAACUGCUUUUGUACGGAACGAAACGGUCUGCUUUAAUACAGUGGGCUAAUGACGGUACCGUAAGAAUAAGCACCGGCUAACUACGUGCCAGCAGCCGCGGUAAUACGUAGGGUGCGAGCGUUAAUCGGAACUACUGGGCGUAAAGCGUGCGCAGGCGGUUAUAUAAGACAGUUGUGAAAUCCCCGGGCUCAACCUGGGAAUUGCAUCUGUGACUGUAUAGCUAGAGUACGGUAGAGGGGGAUGGAAUUCCGCGUGUAGCAGUGAAAUGCGUAGAUAUGCGGAGGAACACCGAUGGCGAAGGCAAUCCCCUGGACCUGUACUGACGCUCAUGCACGAAAGCGUGGGGAGCAAACAGGAUUAGAUACCCUGGUAGUCCAGCCCUAAACGAUGUCAACUGGUUGUUGGGUGCAUUAGUACUCAGUAACGAAGCUAACGCGUGAAGUUCGACGCCGCGGAGGUAACGCCGGCCGAAGUUAGGUAAGUAAACUUAGAGUUAAGUUACGGACGNGAGAGACGACGACGACGACGACGAGGAGGAGGAG